GUGGGGAAUAUUGGACAAUGGGGGGAACCCUGAUCCAGCCAUGCCGCGUGUGUGAAGAAGGCCUUUUGGUUGUAAAGCACUUUAAGCGAGGAGGAGGCUACCGAGAUUAAUACUCUUGGAUAGUGGACGUUACUCGCAGAAUAAGCACCGGCUAACUCUGUGCCAGCAGCCGCGGUAAUACGAAGGGUGCAAGCGUUAAUCGGAUUUACUGGGCGUAAAGCGCGCGUAGGUGGCCAAUUAAGUCAAAUGUGAAAUCCCCGAGCUUAACUUGGGAAUUGCAUGCGAUACUGGUUGGCUAGAGUAUGGGAGAGGAUGGUAGAAUUCCAGGUGUAGCGGUGAAAUGCGUAGAGAUCUGGAGGAAUACCGAUGGCGAAGGCAGCCAUCUGGCCUAAUACUGACACUGAGGUGCGAAAGCAUGGGGAGCAAACAGGAUUAGAAACCCUGGUAGUCC
rnacentral:rRNA from 1 species